rnacentral:rRNA from 1 species
AUUGAACGCUGGCGGCAGGCCUAACACAUGCAAGUCGAGCGGAAGGUUCUUCGGAACCGAGAGCGGCGGACGGGUGAGGAGAGCGUGGGAAUCUGCCUGUAGAUGGGGGAUAGCCCGGAGAAAUCCGGAUUAAUACCGCAUAAUACCUGAGGGUUAAAGUGGAGGAUCGCAAGACUUCACGUCUACAGAUGAGCCCACGUCAGAUUAGCUAGUUGGUAGGGUAAAGGCCUACCAAGGCGACGAUCUGUAGCUGGCCUGAGAGGGUGGCCAGCCACACUGGAACUGAGACACGGUCCAGACUCCUACGGGAGGCAGCAGUGGGGAAUAUUGGACAAUGGGCGCAAGCCUGAUCCAGCCAUGCCGCGUGUGUGAAGAAGGCCUCGGUGUAAG